AUGGAUCAUUACCAAAGGAUUCGUCCAUGUCUUGUGAAUUGUAUUGAAAGCACGGUCGGAGUGAGAGCGAUGGUGUUGGGUGCGGCAGUGUCACAAAUGUGAUGGUGCGUCAUCCUGCAUUGGCACUCUCCCUUCGGCCGCCACUAAACUUCAACUUACAGCCUAGUUAUUCAAACUAAAAACAACUUUUAGCAAUGGAUCUCUUGGCUCUC
rnacentral:misc_RNA from 1 species